UGGGGAAUUUUGGACAAUGGGGGAAACCCUGAUCCAGCCAUCCCGCGUGUGCGAUGAAGGCCUUCGGGUUGUAAAGCACUUUUGGCAGGAAAGAAACGUCGCGGGUUAAUACCCCGCGAAACUGACGGUACCUGCAGAAUAAGCACCGGCUAACUACGUGCCAGCAGCCGCGGUAAUACGUAGGGUGCAAGCGUUAAUCGGAANUACUGGGCGUAAAGCGUGCGCAGGACGGUUCGGAAAGAAAGAUGUGAAAUCCCAGAGCUUAACUUUGGAACUGCGAUUUUUAACUACCGGGCUAGAUGUGUGGUCAGAGGGUAGGUGGAAUUCCGCGUGUAGCAGUGAAAUGCGUAAGAUCAUGCGGAGGAACACCGAUGGCGAAGGCAGCCUCCUGGGAUAACACUGACGCUCAUGGCACGAAAGCGUGGGGAGCAAACAGGAUUAGAUAACCCUGGUAGUCCACGCCCUAAACGAUGGUCAACUAGCUGUUGGGGCCUUCGGGCCUUGUAGCGCAGCUAACGCGUGAAGUUGACCGCCUGGGGAGUACGG
rnacentral:rRNA from 1 species